rnacentral:misc_RNA from 1 species
CCUUCAAGAUAUGCUGGCACUUGUAAGUCGUUUUGAAGUAUUUAUCUACUUUGCCUUCUUAGUUAUUUGCCUUUAUCUUCAAAUAGUUUUUCUGUUAAUAGCUUUAAUAUACGAAUCUUGCCUUUAUCUUGCAUGUAAAUUGUUAUAAAUGCUUUGAAUUUUCGAUAUAGCUAGCAAAACUUAUAAUUUAUAAAUAGUAUGUAAAGAAUGCUGUUAUGUAUUUUGUGGUUGUUGCAUGGUGAUAUGAUGAGUGAAGUUAGGACAUGUUUGAUAUAGAUUGUAAUAGAGCAUAAUGGAAUUUGAUGGAAUGAGUUUCUUAUCCAAUAUUUUACCUCACUUUCAUUACAUUCUAUUGCAUUUCAAUAUGAUCUACGAAAAUACUUUUGACCAACCUUUUGUUUGUGUCCAUUUACUGAUAUAAGCUCUGUUUGUUUCAUGAAAGAUGACCUGUCUAUGGAAAAUGUUGUCUAAUGAAAUAUUGUCAGAGAAAAUAACUUAUUUUCCUUUUUGUGGUCACAAUGUUGAAAAACAAAGUAAAAUUAUUUUCUAUUGUUUUAAGUACCCUGAAAAAAGUUAAUCUUCUUUCAAUUUAUAAUACUAUAAAAAUGUUUGGACUAUAAUAGCAAUUUUUUUACUAUUUAUUAUUGCAUAUGAGAAAAAAAAAACCAUGAAAAUGAUAAAUUUGGGUGGCCAUCAUUGACCACAGCAACCGCCACCAACUGGUGGUGGCUUUCAGUGGUCAAGGAUGAUUGGUGGUGACCGGAAAACUAAUGGAUAUAUGUUUAAUUGUUUAUGUGAUGCAUUAAUAAGUUAUUUCACAUUUUAAUAAGUUUGUUAAAGUUCGUGAGAUAAAAAGGAAGUCAUUUUCGACUUAGUUUUCCCUUUAACUAAGAAAAUAUCUUUUGUUGAUUAAUUUUUCUGAGUGCCUUGAACGUCAGAUAAUAUAGAAAGUGUUUUCUAGGAAAAUAUUUUCAAUCAAACAAACAGAGCCUUUAAGUGGAUUUGGUGUUGUGAUUCACAGUUUCACACUGCUAGUUAUUUCGUAUAAUAUUGCUGAGCAGUUUGCUUAUAUCUUUUAUAUUUUGUACUAGUUAGUAAAUUCUAUCUAAUGGCCUUGGACCAAUCUAAAAUGCCUGUUGCAUAUAUCUAUUGAAGCCUUCGUAAUUGCAGCUUUGUUAUGUGACAAAGCUAAUAGUCUUGUGUCUCAUCAUACACGGAAGGUGUCAACUGUGGCAACUCCCAAAAAUUUAAUCAUAGCUAAUAUAAUAACAAUGAAGUAUGCUAUCAAUGUUCUGUAUUAUUUCCCUACAUGAUCCAUUUCAAGAUGAAUGUUGUUUAAAUGAGUAUGCUUGGCAUCAAUUUUUUUUUUUUUAUUAAGCAUUCUGCAUUAUUAGAAAAAAAAGAAGGGGUAGUCCUAAAUUGACUUGGUGGAGAGUAGUACAACCUGACCUAGAAGCAUUAUACAUUUCUGAGGAUUUAACCCAAA